rnacentral:rRNA from 1 species
CCCUUAGAUGUUCUGAGCCGCACGCGCGCUACACUGAUUCAUGCAACAAGUUUUGUCCUUGGCUGAUAGGCCUGGGUAAUCUUUGAACGUGAAUCGUGAUGGGGAUAGAUGAUUGCAAUUAUUCAUCUUCAACGAGGAAUUCCUAGUAAACGCAAGUCAUCAGCUUGCAUUGAUUACGUCCCUGCCCUUUGUACACACCGCCCGUCGCACCUACCGAUUGAAUGGUCCGGUGAAAUCUUCGGAUCUGAGAGAUGUCUGAUUAAUUUCGGACGCCUUUUGGAAAAGUUGUUUAAACCUUACCAUUUAGAGGAAGGUGAAGUCGUAACA